UUAUGGUUUGGGUGAAGAAUGCCCCCGCCUUGGCGGGGGAGGAAAGUCCGGACAGCUAAAAGACAGGGUGGCCUAGGCUCUUUUUUAAACGAAGGGUGAGGUCUCCCGCCAAGCAAUUGGCGGGACGCGAUAGGGCCACAGAGACGAUUAAAAGUGAAACGUCCCAGCACUAGCUGGGUCAAACUUAAGGCAACUUAAGUUUGUGGUAACCCGCCCCGCUGCAAUCGACGAUCUGGGAUUUAAGGUGUCUUUUCCGUCUGCGCAAGCAGGAUCCCUAAAGCUUCGAGCAUUAGAUAAAUAUUCUUCUGAAAAACAGAAUCCGGCUUACUAAGAGCCUAAAGCA
rnacentral:RNase_P_RNA from 2 species